GUUGCUUUAAACUUUUUGCUCCAUCGUAAACUGUCAGUAUAUUAAUAUCGGCAGACAUUUUGUGUUAAGACAGAAAAUAAAAGUGUAUAUUGCCAGUAACACUUAGAAUAGAAGUGACUCCAUUUUUGUCUAAGACAAACACAAAAUUUCUCUCUGUAACUCUAUUCAUUCAAGUCUGAGCUAAGGAAUGCGUUAUGUAAACAAGAUAAGUGAUAAGGCAUGAUGUCUAAAAGCAGACGGGGAAGUGGAAUACUAAC